UGCAACCCCCUUCCUAGUCACUGAGCCAUGAAUUUCAGGGCAGAGAGAAGCAAAAAACAGAUCUGGGUAGAACGGAAAUAGCAGCUUUAUUUGAGAAAAUCUCACAAGUUACAAACAGCAGAAAUGAACAGUGUCAGUUCCAUUAAUACCACUACUCCCUUUACUAUGGCUGGACAGCAACAGGGCUCUACAAACAGUGAGGAGCAAAAUUAUUGUCUUAAUGAGCAUCAGUUGAUAUUACUUUCCAAACUCCUUAUUUAUCACUAGGCAGAAUUUUCCAAAUAUUCUGAUUAAGAUGCCCUUGGCUGUCAACAAAGCUUGAUGCCAAGCUGCAGAUGUUUCCUUGAUGGUGUUCUUUUUUUCCAUCCACUCGAGCCCUUUGGUUUAGCUGUCCUGAAAAAUUCCCCAUUAGAUUAAAAUGCACUGACUCAUCAGUAAAAGAUAAUAGCUGCAGGAAAGAAAUACACUGUCAAAUUGUCGUGGUCUUAUCUUAGGGCUCUGAAUGGUCUGAGAUGUGCCAGGAUAAAACCACUGCUCCCAGCUUCAGCUGCCUGCUGGAUCAAGGUCAAAUACAGCAAGGCAGGUGAUGGAGUGAUCUGCUUUUGUGUUUUGUCCAACAAUGAAUUACUGAUAGCACAUGGCAGGUUUCAUGAGGAUUUAUUUUGUUUGUUUCAACUGGAUUAAUUUUAGAUUAAUUAGUCAAUUUUCCUACCUCUUCAGUCACCCCUGUAGCCCCAUGGCUAGAAAUACAGACAGAAAACUUCCCUACCUCUUACUACACUGGUUUUUUUCUCUCUUAAACCCUGAGCUGAAGCCCAUAUAUCUCCUGCAGUGCUGCCUUGCUCCAUGAUGACAUGUUCAUUAAGUCAUCUGACGAGUUUGACCCCAGGACCAUGAUCACAGGGCUUGCUGUGGCUGUGGCACCAAACCUUCUCCAUGGAACUCAGGGUGGCUGACGCGUUGUUCCUCCCUUUAAUGUUCUACGACCAACAGUUCAACAAUCAACUGCCACGUUUAAACCUGGAGCCGCAACAGUUGCGGUUGUGCAACGCCACAUCUACGAUUGUUUCCAGGGCUGGACUGUUGGAGCCGAUCUUUGCAAUACCCACCCUCUUCUCAGGUUUCAUGAACUCAAAAACUCCGAGCAAACCUUCUACCUGCAGUUACUUUAGCUCUAUGAAUUUCAGAAGAAUUUCGGGAGAAUUUAAUUCCCAAUGAUCUGUGUGACAGCAUCUUUGUAGCCACAAAACCAGUCGGUUUUGCUCUGAAACUGCAGUGUCAAACACGGAGACCGUUGCUUAUCGAGUGUUUUAUCUUGCUGAUAACCAAGAAGCAAUGAAACAUUGUGCAAAGAGGGGGGGAAAAAGCCCAAAGGACCUUAAGUCUAAGGGUGAGACAAAGGACCGGCUGGAUUAUGGACUAGAGGGAGUUGCACUCUGUGGGGAAACCCGUUCGCGCAGGACAGGGCAGGCACGGGGAAGCAGAAGCACUAAUUCCAGUUUGCCCAAGUUUUCUCCCAUCCUUUCCCCCCUCGCACCGGGCAGCACGAAGGACGGUCAUGGCCAAAGCAAUGGAUACGGAGCUUACCUGUGCACUUCCUUUUAAAGGUUUCAUAGUCUA